rnacentral:rRNA from 1 species
UAGGGAAUCUUCCGCAAUGGGCGAAAGCCUGACGGAGCAACGCCGCGUGAGUGAUGAAGGUCUUCGGAUCGUAAAACUCUGUUAUUAGGGAAGAACAAAUGUGUAAGUAACUAUGCACGUCUUGACGGUACCUAAUCAGAAAGCCACGGCUAACUACGUGCCAGCAGCCGCGGUAAUACGUAGGUGGCAAGCGUUAUCCGGAAUUAUUGGGCGUAAAGCGCGCGUAGGCGGUUUUUUAAGUCUGAUGUGAAAGCCCACGGCUCAACCGUGGAGGGUCAUUGGAAACUGGAAAACUUGAGUGCAGAAGAGGAAAGUGGAAUUCCAUGUGUAGCGGUGAAAUACGCAGAGAUAUGGAGGAACACCAGUGGCGAAGGCGACUUUCUGGUCUGUAACUGACGCUGAUGUGCGAAAGCGUGGGGAUCAAACAGG